rnacentral:rRNA from 1 species
CCCUUAGAUGUUCUGGGCCGCACGCGCGCUACACUGAUGCAUUCAACGAGUCUAAAACCUGGUCUGAGAGGGCUGGGUAAUCUUUUGAAUGUGCAUCGUGAUUGGGAUAGAUGAUUGCAAUUCUUCAUCUUCAACGAGGAAUGCCUAGUAAACGCAAGUCAUCAGCUUGCAUUGAUUACGUCCCUGCCCUUUGUACACACCGCCCGUCGCUCCUACCGAUUGAAUGUUCCGAUGAAUACCAUGGACUGAGAGUAUGAAUGGGUUCGCCUAUUUCUGCUUCUCGGGAAGUGGAGUAAAUCUUAACAUUUAGAGGAAGGAGAAGUCGUAACA